rnacentral:rRNA from 1 species
GGCGGUAUGCUUAACACAUGCAAGUCGAACGGUGUCUUCGGACACAGUGGCGGACGGGUGAGUAACGCGUGAGAAUCUGGCUCUAGGUCUGGGACAACCACUGGAAACGGUGGCUAAUACCGGAUGUGCCGAAAGGUGAAAGGCUUGCUGCCUAGAGAUGAGCUCGCGUCUGAUUAGCUAGUUGGAAGUGUAAUGGACUCCCAAGGCGACGAUCAGUAGCUGGUCUGAGAGGACGAUCAGCCACACUGGGACUGAGACACGGCCCAGACUCCUACGGGAGGCAGCAGUGGGGAAUUUUCCGCAAUGGGCGAAAGCCUGACGGAGCAAUACCGCGUGAGGGAGGAAGGCUCUUGGGUCGUAAACCUCUUUUCUUAGGGAAGAACACAAUGACGGUACCUGAGGAAUAAGCAUCGGCUAACUCCGUGCCAGCAGCCGCGGUAAUACGGAGGAUGCAAGCGUUAUCCGGAAUGAUUGGGCGUAAAGCGUCCGCAGGUGGCAAUGAAAGUCUGCUGUUAAAGAGUCUAGCUCAACUAGAUAGAAGCAGUGGAAACUACAUAGCUAGAGUACGUUCGGGGCAGAGGGAAUUCCUGGUGUAGCGGUGAAAUGCGUAGAGAUCAGGAAGAACACCAGUGGCGAAGGCGCUCUGCUAGGCCGUAACUGACACUGAGGGACGAAAGCUAGGGGAGCGAAUGGGAUUAGAUAC